CGGAGGGAUCAUUACCGAGUUUACAACUCCCAAACCCCUGUGAACAUACCAAUUGUUGCCUCGGCGGAUCAGCCCGCUCCCGGUAAAACGGGACGGCCCGCCAGAGGACCCCUAAACUCUGUUUCUAUAUGUAACUUCUGAGUAAAACCAUAAAUAAAUCAAAACUUUCAACAACGGAUCUCUUGGUUCUGGCAUCGAUGAAGAACGCAGCAAAAUGCGAUAAGUAAUGUGAAUUGCAGAAUUCAGUGAAUCAUCGAAUCUUUGAACGCACAUUGCGCCCGCCAGUAUUCUGGCGGGCAUGCCUGUUCGAGCGUCAUUUCAACCCUCAAGCCCUCGGGUUUGGUGUUGGGGAUCGGCGAGCCCUUGCGGCGAGCCGGCCCCGAAAUCUAGUGGCGGUCUCGCUGCAGCUUCCAUUGCGUAGUAGUAAAACCCUCGCAACUGGUACGCGGCGCGGCCAAGCCGUUAAACCCCCAACUUCUGAAUGUUGACCUCGGAUCAGGUAGGAAUACCCGCUGAACUUAAG
rnacentral:rRNA from 1 species